rnacentral:rRNA from 1 species
CUACGAGGGGCUCCAGUGAGGAAUAUUGCACAAUGGGGGGAACCCUGAUGCAGCAACGCCGCGUGGAGGAUGACGCAUUUCGGUGUGUAAACUCCUUUUAUAUGUCAAGAAAAUGACGGUAGCAUAUGAAUAAGCACCGGCUAACUCCGUGCCAGCAGCCGCGGUAAUACGGAGGGUGCAAGCGUUACUCGGAAUCACUGGGCGGAAAGGACGCGUAGGCGGGUUGGAAAGUCAGGUGUGAAAUCCUACAGCUUAACUGUAGAACUGCACUUGAAACUUCUAAUCUAGAGUAUGGGAGGGGGAGAUGGAAUUAGUGGUGUAGGGGUAAAAUCCGUAGAUAUCACUAGGAAUACCUAAAGCGAAGGCGAUCUCCUGGAACAUUACUGACGCUAAGGCGUGAAAGCGUGGGGAGCAAACAGGAUUAGAUACCCGGGUAGUC